GUAGUUACUAGGAAAAUGAAAACUUUUUGCACAGUCCAUCAAUGAUUUAGAAGUAUGAACAUAUAUUCAUUAAAACACAACUAUAAUUAGAUGACAUGGCUUCUAUGAUCUUUUUACUUAGUUAAGAGUUUUUGCAUAACAUAUGUUAGUGAAAGUAGGAGUUUAGGGUUUUUUUUCAUUCUUUCCACUUUAUGGUGCCUCUUUCUCCAAAUAUCAUGCUAGACAAUAGUAGGCUCCCCAUGGUCUGUCCAAUUCAAAGAGGAAAAACGUUAUAAAUUCCUAUCUUGACCUUAAAAGAUGUUUGAUAUAGUCCUAUAGCAAUUACCUGUGUUAUGGAAUUUUUUUAAGAGUUUCUGAUAUAUGGUCCACAGUGAUCUGAAUUUCCUAACCUGAAAAAUGACUAGAGCAGCAUGAUACAAAAAAUUUCAUUGUGGAUUUGGGAUUGAUUUACGUUUUUUUUUUCAAUACCUCUCUUGCACUACAGUAAGUGGUAUGUGGAUCUGAACAUUGCUGGAAAAAGAUCAGAUGCUCAAACAAGCCAUACUCAUUGCAUCAAUGGAGAUACAAGCAAUUAAUCAACUAGC
rnacentral:lncRNA from 1 species